ACACUAGUGCAUAAUCAUCACUUGCUUUAGGAUUAAAACAUUCACUGGUAUAAUGAUCAAUCUAUGUGCAAUAGAAACAACGAAGUGGUCUUCUUAUACCUCCAUUAGGCAUAGUAGGUAUCUCCACUGGUAUAUAUCUACUAGGCUUGUUCUAUGUAGGGUUAGAAAAUGAUCUUAGUUGUUCCGUUGGUACAAAGGGUACUUAAUUCCAUGACUCCGAUGGAGCAUAUUGCUGAUACCUCUGCUGCUCCUUACUAUAGGUUUGGGAGUUUGAUGCAGACCUUUGAUUAAAAUAAGAACUUUGAAAGUUAU
rnacentral:lncRNA from 1 species